rnacentral:rRNA from 1 species
GAUUAACGCUGGCGGCGUGCCUAACACAUGCAAGUCGAGCGGCAGCGCGUUUUACACUGGCUUCUGGAAGCUUCUAGUUGAAAGAGAAGAUUUAUUCAAGAAUUUUGUGUAAAAUGUCGGCGAGCGGCGGACGGCUGAGUAACGCGUGGGAACGUACCCCAAAGUGAGGGAUAACGCAUCGAAAGGUGUGCUAAUACCGCAUAUGGUCUUCGGUUUAAAUCCUUCGGGCGCUUUGGGAACGGCCUGCGUAAGAUUAGAUAGUUGGUGGGGUAAUGGCCUACCAAGUCGACGAUCUUUAACUGGUGUGAGAGGAUGGUCAGUCAGACUGGAACUGAGACACGGUCCAGACUCCUACGGGAGGCAGCAGUGAGGAAUCUUGCACAAUGGGCGAAAGCAUGAUGGAGCAACGCCGCGUGCAGGAUGAAGGCCUUAGGGUAGUAAACUGCUUUUAUAAGUGAGGAUUAUGACAGUAACUUAUGAAUAAGGAUCGGCUAACUACGUG